rnacentral:lncRNA from 1 species
AAAAGUCACUCAUAGACGUUGGUACUACAGUUUAACAGUAAGUAACCCAUGUGCCUCCAUAGUAUCUUUUAGGCUUAAAUUAUAUCAUUCUAAAAGUAUAUUAAUUUUAAUAAUUAUUAAAAUUUAAUUUUAAUUAAGUAAUUUAAUAAUUUUAAUAACUGCUGGAAUCUAACAUUGAAAUUUCCUGAAUAAAAUUUGACCCCUAGAAUAUAAACAGAUUUUUUAAAAAAUGAAUUUUGAAGAGUAUUUUUUUUUUUAAAUUAAGAUUAGAGUAUAGCAUACAGGCUUGUUCUAGCUCUAAAAGUCCAAGGCUCUAGGACUGUUUUUUGUAAAAAAAAA